rnacentral:misc_RNA from 1 species
GGUUAUUUACCCUGUUAACAAG